AUUUUGAAAUCGCUCAGCCAUUGUUAUUUGGACUUUCUCAAGUGGCGAAGCUCAAAACAAAAGAUAUUUAUGACAGAACUAUUCUUUUAUUGUAUCACUUGUCAACUGCAGUGAUUUUGUUGAUACAAAGUGUUUAUCCAGUUGUCGUCUGCCGCUAGCAAUGGACGACCCAUCAUAUGGCGAUCCUUAUGGUAGAACAACACAACAGACGUCAACGAUGCAGACUAUUGAUCAGGACAACAAAAAUGAAGCACUUCUUGCACGCCGCAAUGCCUCUGUGGUCGUUCUAUGGAAGCACACCAUGGUAUCCGCCGGCCUGUCCCUGUUUGGUGUUGCUGUGGGGAUAGGUAACAUCGUGGUAGGGGCGGACUCGGACGACGGACGCUGGCACCUCUCAGGGGGAUCACUCGUCCCCGCCAUCUUGGUGAGUCACAUUCUCAAACGUUUUGCAAUACAUAUGGUCAACUGUCCAUCAGUACUUGAUACAUUUUUUGUUUCACAAAAAUGAGAUUCAAAUCUUCAAUUUCCUUCAGUAAAACAAAUUAAGGAGGAUGUCAACCCACAUUCCUUGGUGGCGACCAUAUAACCCCAGUUAAAUCAAUAACAAAGCAAUGCAUCUGUAAACAACGCUACCGUAUCACAAAAGACAAGACAGUGCAAUAUGCAACAUCUGCAGAAAAUGAAAACAAAAUUAUCGAUAUUAAAUUAUUUAUCAUCAUAUAUAAUCAAACUCAAUGCAAAUCAAGGCAUAAAGCACAUGCUCACGUCUUUAUUUAAUAAUAAUUAUUUAUAGUUGAAGUUUGGGGGUUUUUUGGGGGUUUUUUUUGUAGAUGGCUGUCUGUGUUAUUCAUGGAUAUUUUCUAUGUCAGAUCGGGAAGGAGAAAAAUUGCGAACAAGAUAUAGGAACAACGGCAAAAUGCUUGUUUAUAAGUCACUACACCAUGAACUGGAUAGUCCUACACGCCGGCCUGGCUUUCUUUGCUCUCUCCAUUGUCGGCAUCCUCUGGUGUAGUGGAGCUGUCACCACCUAUACUACCACAAACAAGAAAACCCGCAUCACCACUACGCACAAUACCACGUGUCCUAACGACGAGACUGCGGCCAUAGCAACGGCUAGUUUGGCUGUGGUUGACUGUGUGGCCAUUACUGUGUGUAGUAUUGUGGGCCUAGUUCUGUACCAUUUGUACUUCCGGUACUACGGCAUCAAAGCAAGAGGAGAGUACUAGCAACUGACCAAUUUUUUGUUUGGAUUUUCUUUCAGUCACUUUGCAAUGACUUGGUUUUGUUUGUGAUGCAAUCCGUCUCAGCUCCAUCGUUCAAACUGCUGUUUUUUAUUCAUGUGUGUGUGUGUGUGUGUGUGUGCGUGACACUCUGGAGGCUUACCAAUUUCAUUUUGGAUCCUUCGUUAAUAUAGGAAAUGGUCGGUUCAAGACUUGAAGUUCAAAUUCACGAUCAUGCAUUGUCAGUCUGGUAGUAAAUUUUUGUAUUCCAUGUAUUUAUGAAUAAUGCAUGCUUUAUUAGUUCCGAUUGGUUUCUCUUCGCUUUUGGGAUGAAAGUCUCACCAGUCAAAGGAUCGCUAACCGCUAACAUUUUACGUAGGAACUUUUUAUGGUAUUGUGACAUUUGUUUUGUUUUCUUUUGUUAUCUAGCUUUGUUUUCACAUGGUGGAUUUGAUAGUAAACGGGAGGAAAAUUUAAAUGAGUUUAAUUUUUUUCAUCCAGUUUCUCUGUGGAUAAUCUUUUAUUCAUUUUUUUUAUUUCAUGGGAUUUCAACUUGCAUUUUUCAUGAGAAUACUUUUAAUGUUCUUAUUUUAAACGCAUGUAAAAAUGUUUGUUUUUAUCGUAAGAUAUUGUCACAAUUGAUUCUCAGCUGUGUUUUAAAGCUUAAAGUAUUGGAAAAUAAAAACAUAAAGUCAAAUUUUCUUAUAUAAAUUUUACAUUAUACAGAUACUUGUAUUACAUGUGUUUUGAAAAUAAAGUUGCUUUGU
rnacentral:misc_RNA from 1 species